rnacentral:rRNA from 1 species
GACGAACGCUGGCGGCGUGCUUAACACAUGCAAGUCGAACGGAAAGGCCCCUUUGGGGGUACUCGAGUGGCGAACGGGUGAGUAACACGUGAGUAACCUGCCCUUGACUUCGGGAUAACUUCAGGAAACUGGGGCUAAUACCGGAUAGGAAUCCUUGCUGCAUGGUGGGGGUUGGAAAGCUUCGGCGGUUUUGGAUGGACUCGCGGCUUAUCAGCUUGUUGGUGGGGUAGUGGCUUACCAAGGCUUUGACGGGUAGCCGGCCUGAGAGGGCGACCGGCCACAUUGGGACUGAGAUACGGCCCAGACUCCUACGGGAGGCAGCAGUGGGGAAUAUUGCACAAUGGGCGGAAGCCUGAUGCAGCAACGCCGCGUGCGGGAUGACGGCCUUCGGGUUGUAAACCGCUUUCAGCAGGGGCGAAGCUUGUGGUGACGGUACCUGCAGAAGAAGCACCGGCUAACUAUGUG